UACGUAGGGUGCAAGCGUUUAAUCGGAAUUACUGGGCGUAAAGCGUGCGCAGGCGGUUUUGUAAGUUUGUCGUGAAAGCCCCGGGCUCAACCUGGGAAUUGCGAUGAAGACUGCAAGGCUUGAAUCUGGCAGAGGGGGGUAGAAUUCCACGUGUAGCAGUGAAAUGCGUAGAGAUGUGGAGGAACACCGAUGGCGAAGGCAGCCCCCUGGGUCAAGAUUGACGCUCAUGCACGAAAGCGUGGGGAGCAAACAGG
rnacentral:rRNA from 1 species